AAUUUAUAACAUUGCGCGGAUGUAAUUAGUUCGUUUGAAUGCACACCGUUUAUUUAAAUAAAACUUUAGUUAGUGCCCGAUUAAAUAAACUUUUGGUGAUUGGAUUCAUUUAUUCGAACGUGAACUACUAUUAUAUCAUUUUUCAUAAUCUCCUACUUCCAUAUUGUGUUAUGACUUCCAGUUUCUGAUGACUUCUUCUGGACCAAGGUUUCGCCUUACGUACUCUGUUUUACACCUUAAAAAGGAAAGAAGAGAAAAAGGAGGAUCGAACUAGGGGAGAGAUAGAAAAUUAAGCAGCCAGCAGCAAUGAAACUUCUAGCUACUACCUGGCUAACAGUUUAAGUAGAACAAGGAAGAUGAGUCAGACGGUGAACGCAUCCGUUUCGAUAAUAAUUGGUGAAUAGAAAAUGCACGAUUGCAAUAAAUAUUUGACACAGACAGUCGAUCGUAAUCCUUUCGAAAUCUACAAAUUGGAUCCAUGCACAUCUUAAGAAGAUGCAGAUUAAGUCUCGAAACAUCCGACAGACUACAGCGAAGUCCUUCGGGUGAGAAAUAGUCCGAUCUACAAAAUAUAUUUGGUUUUUAGAGAUAAUGUACAGUUGGCGUGUGAGUUUGAAACUAGA